rnacentral:lncRNA from 10 species
CCUGGAUCUCCACUAGAACUCCACUGAUAUCAUUCUCUCUGGGAAUGGUAGAAGUGACUUGCUACUCUUCUACUGACACCACAGAGAAGAAGUAUGGCCUAAUUCCAACUAGACUACAGUGUAAGUUCUGACUCUUCACUAGGCUUCCUCUUGUACUAGCAGAGAGGGAGUGGGGGUGCUUCUGUUGCUACAUAGAGCUGGAAACCCAGGCUACCAGUGUAGAUUUCACUGGCACGAGGGGUGAGGAUCAUUACCUCUUGAUGGAGGUAGAAGUCCCGGAUCCCUUCUCAUCCUUCUCUGACACCACCCUGGAAGGGGGAUGGGGCACCUUGUUACACCAUAUAUUGCAGGGGUGAGUGUGGGUGAGAUUGCAGUUUUUCUCUGUGGUAUUUGACUAGAGUAGCAUGUUUACUGUAUAAUUUUUCUGCCUUGCCAAGCUGCUUCUUUCUUGAUCUUUUGGCUAGAAUGAUGAUAAUUUUCUUGUGCCUCUUUUUUUUGUUUUGUAUGCAGCCUUUGGCAUUUGUGGGUUGCUAACUUAUUCAGCUGAAAAUCUGGGAUAGAUUAAGCAAAAAUAAAACCCAGGAAACUCACCACUAUGUUCGUUGGGUACUGUCUAGGGAACUAAGGAGCGGCAAUGGAUUGGUGCCUCUCACUACUAUAGCUAAUAAUCCACUUAAUGGAAUUCUUACACCCUGCCUUGUUGAAUUCUAGUACCCAAGGGAUUUAAGUUUCCAUCAAGGCACACAGUCAUUAUUCCCUUAAAUCCAAAGCUUAACAAUAACUGUUCGCUAAUCCUUUUUGAUCUCUUCAUAGUAAAUAUUCAACAGGGAGAGUUCACUAA